UCAGCUCUGAAGUCUUCGCCUUCGAUGCAGAUGCGGUCAUCGUUUUGUCUCACUGUACAUACAGUAUGUCUGUCAACAACAAUAAACCAAUUACUAAAGCUGCAAGAUAUAACGCAAAGGGAAAAUUAUGAUCGUAUUGUAACAAGCUAUCUUAAUAUACAUAUUUGUGGUAUAUAAAUUAUAGAUAAACGUAUGAUGAAUAAUUAUCUCACGUCUUAUCGCCGCCACCUUCUCUUGUCUAAAGGAAAUUACGUACAUGUAUAUUUACCGCUGAUUGGCCAACACAGUAAAACUCCUUUGACCAAUGAGAAACCUUUUGGCACGCCCAUUCCUCCAGGCUGCAGUUACCCCUGUCUCGACAAUUUAAACAAAGCAUGCAGAUUGAAUACAGGGGACGGACUGAUGCUGGCCAUUUUCCCAAACUGCGACUAAAACGGUCGCAUUUGCGACCAUAAAUAUUAAUUUGCGAGUGACGUUUUUGCUGAGGUCGCCAUUGGCGACUACCCGCCGAAAGCUCGUGUUGCAUGGUUAAUUUUUCAACGAAUUUGUGCAAUUUGCUUGUUGGUAAUGAACAUUUAAACUGUUAUCCAUUGUAUUUUAUGUUGUUGGGUAUCACAAAAUGGAAUAAAAUACGAAAAAGUAGGUACUAUCUUACAGCGGUUUGCAACGAUUCUCCUUUCCCCCACAAUGCAUUGCAUUACGUCACAUUGGGGAGAGAAUUUAGGCUUGUUUGAGAUGAACAAAAUCUGCGCAGAACCGAUCACCGGUGAUCACCGCGAGAUGCAUGCCGGUUAGAAAAGUGUCCGAGUUACGUCCGCCUUGCUCUGAUGUCAUGCUGACGUGUGCCGAAAAACUCUCGCGACGGCGAGGCUGUGUCGGAUUGAGCAGUCGAGUGCAGUGGCUCUCCACCGACUGCGCUGAUCAAAAGCAUGAUGGGAAACAACUGACUGACGACACAGCUUAAAUCUCAUUGGUUCAGACAACUGUGAUGCUGCGUUCUCUUCUAAAAUAUUUUAUUUUUUUAUCUGAUUUCAUGUGAUUAUGUAUUUAAAUUAUUCAUGAAUCUUCCCAAACACUAUUACAGUGCGAUAUAUGUGUGAGAUAUGUGAUUGUUGUCAUAUUUCUAUAAAAAUCUAAAAUACAUGUUUGUAUUAAAGUAAAAACGGAUGAUAAAUACGGCUUUCGUAUGGAAUUAAAUAGCAAGCACCUUGAGUGUCUUGUUCAUCAUAUUUAUUUUCAUAUAAAAGCAACAGAACUGAAAUUAUAUCAUGUUUAUUAGCAACACAGCACGUGAGUGAGAAUAACGCGAUAUCUGCCUUUGAUCUCGUAGGUAUCUGUUCCACUUUGAGAGCUCAGAACUGUCCGUCUUGACCACAAGCGUGUACGUCUGCAGACUGCAAGACAGGGGCGUAACUUGAAAGAGGCGUAACUUGAAGUAGGAGGCGUAACUUGAAGUUGUCGAAAUCUCACAGAAUCACGCGAGAUGUCAAAAUGAUAAGUUGUUGGCUGCUUUCAGUAGGGCACAGGGUAGAAUAUUGAUUACGUUUUUUAAGGAAAGCAGGGGUUUUAGGCAGGAUUUGAUGCAUAAGGUGUGUGUAGAUAUUAAUGGUAGUGGACAAUGUGAGUGAUGCGUACCUUUAGUAGGAAAACCUAUUAUCUGAUCCACACUCCGGGACAGAAGAGGGCGGUAUUGCACCAAUAAGCUGGAUGCCAACCGCCGUUAAACUGGAAAGAAGUUACAAUGAGUUACAAUGGAACAGAUUAUGUUUAUCUGCUGUAGAGUGACUGAUGAAGGAAUGCUGCCAUCAAAGGAUUUGUAUCUUUUGUGGUGGAGCAGGACCUGCAAGGAAAGGGGAAAAAAAGGAAAAACCUGAAACAAAAGAAUAAAGUAGUGGUGCUCAUGGAGAGCAGCACACGAUUGUUUGGAGCAGACACAGCAGCAGUCAGAUUGUCCUGCAUGUGUUCUUCUGCUCUCGCUUCAAGGUAGUGUGGUUCAGAGAGCCGUCAUCAAGGUCUUCCUCAUCCUGUUGCUCAACGACAUCCCCGUUGAGAAGAGUGAGAUUGUGAAGCACAGCGCAGCAGCAGAACUGUCUCAGCUGUGUUGAGAUGAUAGUAAGAUGUGGGGUUCACCGUCUGUAAAUACAUGAUUGUUAGAACAGUUAGUUUGAAAGAAGCUUUGUUUCAUGUGUUGUUGACUUGUACAUGUCUGUAUUUAUUGUGGUGCUAACAUUUAUACAUUCUUUUAAUCAUUUAGACAUGUUUCUUGUUGUCAGUAAAUAAAAUAUAAAUAUUUGAUCUAUUCAUGUAUUAAUUGCUUGACUGAAAACUGAUGUAUUCACAUCAACUGCAUUAGUGUAUAUUCAUGUAUAGCUAUGUCACGACAGAAAAUACAUUUUGCUUCUUUUACUAAAA
ensembl:lncRNA